rnacentral:rRNA from 1 species
CUACGGGAGGCAGCAGUGGGGAAUUUUGGACAAUGGGCGCAAGCCUGAUCCAGCAAUGCCGCGUGAGUGAAGAAGGCCUUCGGGUUGUAAAGCUCUUUUGUCAGGGAAGAAACGGUUGUUCCUAAUACGGACGGCUAAUGACGGUACCUGAAGAAUAAGCACCGGCUAACUACGUGCCAGCAGCCGCGGUAAUACGUAGGGUGCAAGCGUUAAUCGGAAUUACUGGGCGUAAAGCGUGCGCAGGCGGUUAUAUAAGUCAGAUGUGAAAUCCCCGGGCUCAACCUGGGAACUGCAUUUGAGACUGUAUGGCUAGAGUGUGUCAGAGGGGGGUAGAAUUCCACGUGUAGCAGUGAAAUGCGUAGAUAUGUGGAGGAAUACCGAUGGCGAAGGCAGCCCCCUGGGAUAACACUGACGCUCAUGCACGAAAGCGUGGGGAGCAAACAGGAUUAGAUACCCUUGUAU